rnacentral:lncRNA from 1 species
CUUAAUUAGAAGAGUUAACGGAACACUAACCAUGGCCAUUCUGGCCAAUUUUAUUUAUAGUUGCAGGCCUAGUCUACAAUUUAGACUGUCAGCCAAGGUCACUGGGAAACAGCUGUUUGGAAAGUCGGAAUUUCCCAGCCAACCAACGUGAGAGAAAGAGCAAAUAGCAAGCAGUCUGAGCGUGAUCAUAUCAAAGACAAACAGCGCUUAAAAAUAGAUCAAAGACAAUCUUAGUGAUUAAAUAUUUGUAUUGCUAAAUUAGGUUCCAAGUAGUCCACUAAAUGCCAGAAAAUGUUAGUCACGAAGAGGUGGAAAAUAAUAUUAUUUUGUUUGUAUGGAAAUUAUUCUUGUACGCUAAAUUGCAAUCUACAACAACGGACAACUUCUUCUAUAUAUUAUUGCUAGAAAUUAAUUUAUUUUGCUUUCCAAAGUCCAAAGAAAUCUUUAUUAUUUUGGCACGAAAAACAAUUAUCUUUUAUUCUGCCAAAAAAGACGAUAAUAUUUGCAGAGCAAACACGCGUCAGUGUAGGGGUUGGGUUAUGUUAAGUUCUUAGGAUCCUCCCAAGCUAUUGCACAUGUUUGAAGUCUGUUUGCAUUUGGUCAAGUCCGUGCCACACCACGCUGUGAACAGUUGAAUAUUCAUUUUUAGUUGCAGAGUACAAAUGAAGGUAAAUAAUUAUAAAACUUACUCAAACGAUUGACACAACCACUGACACCCAUGACGCAGCUAUUGCUGAAUUUGCAGCGCACCAAUUGACCAUUUUUGCGGGUCUCUCCGCACACUGGACUGUAGACUGCAGGACAGAUGCUGGGACAUUGCUCCCUUGAUUGUGCUUCCGAAAAGGUACAGACCAGGAGCAGUCCAAGGAGCAGCAGAAACGACUUCAUUGCUGUAAUGUAGGAGGAGAUCUUCUGGUUGAUAACAGUCAGUGCGAGGAGCUUUUAUAGGGCAGCCUCUGAGGGAUGAGCUAUAAUUGUA